GGGCCCGCACAAGCGGUGGAGCAUGUGGUUUAAUUCGAUGAUACGCGAGGAACCUUACCAGGGCUUAAAUGUAAGUUGCAUGGAUCAGAGAUGAUCCUUUCUUCGGACCACUUACAAGGUGCUGCAUGGUUGUCGUCAGCUCGUGCCGUGAGGUGUCAGGUUAAGUCCUAUAACGAGCGCAACCCCUAUCGUUAGUUGCCAGCAAGUAAAGUUGGGUACUCUAGCGAGACUGCCGGUGCAAACCGAGAGGAAGGUGGGGAUGACGUCAAAUCAUCACGGCCCUUACGUCCUGGGCUACACACGUGCUACAAUGGCCGGUACAGAGAGCAGCCACCACGCGAGUGGGAGCGAAUCUUCAAAACCGGUCUCAGUUCGGAUCGCAGUCUGCAACUCGACUGCGUGAAGCUGGAAUCGCUAGUAAUCG
rnacentral:rRNA from 1 species